rnacentral:rRNA from 1 species
UCGAGAAUCUUCCGCAAUGGGCGAAAGCCUGACGGAGCGACGCCGCGUGAUUGAUGAAGUCCCUCGGGACGUAAAGAUCUUUUAUGGGAUAGAAAGUCAUUGAUCGUCCCAUGAAUAAGAGGUUGCUAAACUCGUGCCAGCAGCAGCGGUAAUACGAGUGCCUCAAGCGUUAUCCGGAAUUAUUGGGUGUAAAGGGUGUGUAGGCGGCACUACUAGUCUCUCGUUAAAUCUGGCAGCUCAACUGUCAAACUGCGAGGGAAACGGUAGUACUUGAGGGUGUGAGGGGUGAACAGAACUCUAGGUGUAGGGGUGAAAUCCGUUGAUAUCUAGGGGAAUACCAAAAGCGAAGGCAGUUCACUGGCACAUUUCUGACGCUGAAACACGAAAGCGUGGGUAGCGA